GCCUGAUUCACGAGCUUGUGAGCCUACUUUCAUGCUGUAUAUUACCUCACUUCAUAAGAAUAUCUCUUAGAGGAAGAGGGGUAUGAAUAACACUCAGUGAAGCUGAGUAGAAUUCCACAUGGCUAGCGAAAUUCCCAGAAAUCAGACUGUGUCUUCCAAUGUAUAAGGGGCAGCAAAGUGGAUUAUGGGGUUAGAAGUGCAUUGCUACAGCUGUAGACAAGGAGAAUUUUGCUCUACAAUGCUUGUCACCAGUUUGCUAUGAGCAGUUGGAG
rnacentral:misc_RNA from 1 species